GUACGAAGGUAAGGAAAGAGAGAGGGAGAAAAGAGGAGAAGCAGGAGUGGCCUCCUUCCCCCCUCCCCGGAACACACAACGCAAAAGAUGUUUAAGAGAGAGAGAGAGAGAGAGAGAAUGCAAGCAAGGAUUUUCUAAUUUUAAAUUUGAAUAAUUUCAAGACUUUUUUUUUUUAAAAUUAUAAAAAAAUCUAGGAUUGAAUACAUAAUUUAGUCAAAAAAAUCACUAGCCACAAAUGGCCAAUACAAACUAGUCACAAAGGGCCAUUACAAUUAGUGCUGUUUUUGGUUCGGUAACCACACCGAUAUCUGGCAACCGGCUACCUCCAGACCCUCAUCGGAAUGGCCUAAAUGACAACUGUGACCGGUUUCGCAAGUUGCAGUUUACCACAUCUUUGGUGGG
rnacentral:lncRNA from 1 species